GAAUCUUGCGCAAUGGGCGAAAGCCUGACGCAGCAACGCCGCGCGCGGGAUGAAGGCCUUCGGGCUGUAAACCGCUUUCAGCAGGAACGAAAAUGACGGUACCUGCAGAAGAAGGAGCGGCCAACUACGUGCCAGCAGCCGCGGUGACACGUAGGCUCCAAGCGUUGUCCGGAUUUAUUGGGCGUAAAGAGCUCGUAGGCGGUUGAGUAAGUCGGGUGUGAAAACUCUGGGCUUAACCCGGAGACGCCAUCCGAUACUGCUCUGACUAGAGUUCAGGAGGGGAGUGGGGAAUUCCUAGUGUAGCGGUGAAAUGCGCAGAUAUUAGGAGGAACACCGGUGGCGAAGGCGCCACUCUGGACUGAAACUGACGCUGAGGAGCGAAAGCAUGGGUAGCAAACAGG
rnacentral:rRNA from 1 species